GAUGAGAGAGAGCAGGAGACAAAAGUAGCAUUUUCCUCAUCCUCCUAGGCUGGCAGCAGGGCCUUCCCCCAGCGCCACUUGCUCCUGGCAGUCCUAACCCCGGGUGCCAGAGUAGCCAAGGCCCAGGCCAGGACCUACAGACUGAUGGAUGCCAGAGCCCAGGAGGCCCAAGGGCCUGUCCGGCAGAGACUGGCACCUGGGGACAGCCUUUUGGCUAGCGGGAGCCCUCUUACCCAGCCAGGGCAGGGGGACAUCGUUUUCACUUCCUGGCUUUUGAGAAAGUGACCCUGUCCUUCAGUUCCUUGGCUUGUACCUGUUGGUGGAGAUGUCAGAGAACAGUGGAAAUGGAACACUGGUGAAAUCCUCCCCAGCUGGCUAGGAGUGAACAUGGCUGCUCCAGAAAGCCUCCUAGGAAAGUGAAAGCCUGUCAUGUGUAUCAGAAGACCCCGUGGAAGCCGGGCGGUGGUGGCGCACGCCUUUAAUCCCAGCACUCGGGAGGCAGAGCCAGGCGGAUCUCUGUGAGUUCGAGGCCAGCCUGGUCUCCAAAGCGAGUUCCAGGAAAGGCGCAAAGCUACACAGAGAAACCCUGUCUCGAAAAAAACCAAAAAAAAAA